rnacentral:lncRNA from 1 species
GAGUAAAAGGGUCAUCGGUAAUCAUCAUGUCUGGGUCGUCCUCACUGUCUCCAAUAGACUCUAUAGGCUGAUAAAAGAGUGUCAGCGAUCCUUUCUCAAGCUCGUACUGCUCAUCAGUCAUCGGUAUAUAAGUGGGAUCGAGUAAUCCCGGUGACAUAGGGGAGAUGGGUAGCUCAAAUGUCUCUAAAGGUGGGGACCAAGAUGGCAUCCCUAUCUCAGGCGUCGGAGGAGAAGGACCAUGAUCCUCAGCAGGAUCAUAGCUAGGUGUCUCUCCUGUAGUGCCCGUAGACCAAAUAGUGAUAGGGCUCAGUGGCGCUACUUAAGGUAUCUCCAGAACAUCAUCAUCUGACUCGGUGUCAUCAUCCGAAACGAUAAUAAUAGGUGCUGGAACCGCCACAUCGU